CUCAAAGGAAUUGACGGGGGCCCCGCACAAGCGGAGGAACAUGUGGUUUAAUUCGAUGAUACGCGAGGAACCUUACCUGGGCUUAAAUGUAGAGUGCAUUGAGGGAAACUUUCAUUUCUUCGGAACUCUUUACAAGGUGCUGCAUGGCCGUCGUCAGCUCGUGCCGUGAGGUGUUGGGUUAAGUCCCGCAACGAGCGCAACCCCGCCGUUAGUUGCCAGCGGUUCGGCCGGGCACUCUAACGGGACUGCCCGCGAAAGCGGGAGGAAGGAGGGGACGACGUCUGGUCAGCAUGGCCCUUACGGCCUGGGCGACACACGUGCUACAAUGCCCACUACAAAGCGAGGCCACCCGGCAACGGGAGCUAAUCGCAAAAAGGUGGGCCCAGUUCGGAUUGGGGUCUGCAACCCGACCCCAUGAAGCCGGAAUCGCUAGUAAUCGCGGAUCAGCCAUGCCGCGGUGAAUACGUUCCCGGGCCUU
rnacentral:rRNA from 1 species